rnacentral:rRNA from 1 species
GACGAACGCUGGCGGCGUGCCUAAUACAUGCAAGUUGAGCGCUGAAGGUUGGUACUUGUACCAACUGGAUGAGCAGCGAACGGGUGAGUAACGCGUGGGGAAUCUGCCUUUGAGCGGGGGACAACAUUUGGAAACGAAUGCUAAUACCGCAUAAAAACUUUAAACACAAGUUUUAAGUUUGAAAGAUGCAAUUGCAUCACUCAAAGAUGAUCCCGCGUUGUAUUAGCUAGUUGGUGAGGUAAAGGCUCACCAAGGCGAUGAUACAUAGCCGACCUGAGAGGGUGAUCGGCCACAUUGGGACUGAGACACGGCCCAAACUCUUACGGGAGGCAGCAGUAGGGAAUCUUCGGCAAUGGACGAAAGUCUGACCGAGCAACGCCGCGUGAGUGAAGAAGGUUUUCGGAUCGUAAAACUCUGUUGGUAGAGAAGAACGUUGGUGAGAGUGGAAAGCUCAUCAAGUGACGGUAACUACCCAGAAAGGGACGGCUAACUACGUG